GACGAACGCUGGCGGCGUGCUUAACACAUGCAAGUCGAACGGAAAGGCCCUGCUUUUGUGGGGUGCUCGAGUGGCGAACGGGUGAGUAACACGUGAGUAACCUGCCCUUGACUGUGGGAUAACUUCAGGAAACUGGGGCUAAUACCGGAUAGGAGCUCCUGCUGCAUGGUGGGGGUUGGAAAGUUUCGGCGGUUGGGGAUGGACUCGCGGCUUAUCAGCUUGUUGGUGGGGUAGUGGCUUACCAAGGCUUUGACGGGUAGCCGGCCUGAGAGGGUGACCGGCCACAUUGGUACUGAGAGACGGCGCAGACUGCUACGGGAGGCAGCAGUGGGGAAUAUUGCACAAUGGGCGGAAGCCUGAUGCAGCAACGCCGCGUGCGUGAUGACGGCCUUCGGGUUGUAAACCGCUUUCGCAUGUGACGAAGCGUGAGUGACGGUAAUGGGUAAAGAAGCACCGGCUAACUACGUG
rnacentral:rRNA from 1 species